UUAUUUUAUUUUGGUUAAUAUUUUUAUUAUUAUUUUAUUUUACAUGUAAAUUUUUGUGUGAAUUUAUUUAAUUUUUAAAAAAUUAUUUAGUUUAUUUAUUCGCAGUGAUUAAUAUUAAUAUAAAAAAGAAAUUUUGUAUUAGUAAUAAUAUAUAGUAUUGGUAAAAUUUGUGCCAGCUACCGCGGUUAUACAAAUAAUACAAAUAAAAAUUUUUAGUAUUAGUUAAAUUAAUCAAAUUUUAAUAUAAAUAUAAAUUUAUUAGGUGAAAUUUUUAAAUUUAUUUAUUAUUAAUUUAAAAAAUAAUUUAAGCUAUAAACUUUUUAUAAUAAACUAGGAUUAGAUACCCUAUUAUUAAAAAUAAAUAUGAGCAUACUAAAGUAGUAUUAGUUAUAUUCUUAAAAUUUAAAAAAUUUGGCGGUAUUUUAGUCUAUUCAGAGGAAUCUGUCCUGUAAUUGAUAGUCCACAUUGAACCUUACUUAAAUUUGUUUAAUUUGUAUAUCGCCGUCAUCAGAAUAUAUUAUAAGAUAAAAUUUUCUUAAUAUUUAAUAAAAUAAUAUGUCAGGUCAAGGUGCAGUUUAUGUUUAAGUAGAGAUGGAUUACAAUAAAUUUAUUUAAUAUGGAUAAUUUUUUGAAAUAAAGAUUUGAAAGUGGAUUUGAAAGUAAUAUAAAAUAGAUUAUUUAUAUGAUUUUAGUUCUAAAAUAUGCACAUAUCGCCCAUCGUUCUUAUUUUUAAAAUAAGAUAAGUUGUAACAUAGUAGAUGUACUGGAAAGUGUAUCUAGAAAGA
rnacentral:ncRNA from 1 species